AUCGUCGCGACGCGUACCUAGUUUUACACGCUGACAAAAGCGCAGUCACAGGAUACGGAUAUAAUUGUUUAGGUUUCCGAGAGUGUUGAAGCACUCUCCUCUUAAUUUUUGUACAUCGGGAUGUUCUUUGCCAGAAUUUCCAAGUCAGUGAAUUUGAGAAGUCGAGGAUCUAAAGGACUGGAAAUAUAAAUGCGAAUGAAAACAAAUCUCCUUUUCAGCUUUCCAGUUCAAAUGAGCUGUUAAAGGAAACGAAAAUUUAUAAGAAACAAUAAUAAAGUACGGAACUUCAAAUCCACAUUACACAAUCCCAAGUAAUCUUUUCACUUGCAUUUAACCAUGAACUAGAGUACCGACAAUUGGAGAUCCAAUAAGUAGUGGUACCAGCCUAAUUAAUAUUCGAAGUGUGUGCACGUAAACACUUGAAACGGAUUAGUAUGUGAAGACUAAAAAUGUAAAAUCAAGUGGUAGUUUUCCAAACAACUUAAUGGGGGGCCGCAAAAUGGACAUGUCAAGUACUUCGUUGUACAUCAUAGUUUUCACACUAAUUUUCCACCUAGUUG